rnacentral:rRNA from 1 species
GACGAACGCUGGCGGCGUGCUUAACACAUGCAAGUCGAACGGAAAGGCCCUGCUUGCAGGGUACUCGCGUGGCGAACGGGUGAGUAACACGUGGGUGAUCUGCCCUGCACUUCGGGAUAAGCUUGUGAAACUGGGUCUAAUACCGGAUAGGUGCCAUCUUUAGUGUGGUGGUUGGAAAGUUUUUUCGGUGUAGGAUGAGCUCGCGGACUAUCAGCUUGUUGGUGGGGUAAUGGCCUACCAAGGCGGCGACGGGUAGCCGGCCUGCGAGGGUGUACGGCCACACUGGAACCGAGAGACGGGCCAGACUCCGACGGGAGGCAGCAGUGGGGAAUAUUGCACAAUGGGCGCAAGCCUGAUGCAGCGACGCCGCGUGGUGGAUGAAGGCCUUCGGGUUGUAAACUCCUUUCGCUAGGGACGAAGCUUUUUUGUGACGGUACCUAGAUAAGAAGCACCGGCUAACUACGUG